AUACUCCUGACUGACCGAUAGUGAACCAGUACCGUGAGGGAAAGGCGAAAAGAACCCCUGUGAGGGGAGUGAAAUAGAACCUGAAACCGUGUACGUACAAGCAGUAGGAGCACCUUCGUGGUGUGACUGCGUACCUUUUGUAUAAUGGGUCAGCGACUUAUAUUCAGUGGCAAGGUUAACCAUCUAGGGGAGCCGUAGGGAAACCGAGUCUUAACUGGGCGCCAUAGUCUCUGGAUAUAGACCCGAAACCGAGUGAUCUAGCCAUGGGCAGGUUGAAGGUUGAGUAACAUCAACUGGAGGACCGAACCGACUAAUGUUGAAAAAUUAGCGGAUGACUUGUGGCUAGGGGUGAAAGGCCAAUCAAACUCGGAGAUAGCUGGUUCUCCCCGAAAGCUAUUUAGGUAGCGCCUCGGACGAAUACUACUGGGGGUAGAGCACUGUUAAGGCUAGGGGGUCAUCCCGACUUACCAACCCUUUGCAAACUCCGAAUACCAGUAAGUACUAUCCGGGAGACACACGGCGGGUGCUAACGUCCGUCGUGGAGAGGGAAACAACCCAGACCGCCAGCUAAGGUCCCAAAUUACAGCUAAGUGGGAAACGAUGUGGGAAGGCUUAGACAGCUAGGAUGUUGGCUUAGAAGCAGCCAUCAUUUAAAGAAAGCGUAAUAGCUCACUAGUCGAGUCGGCCUGCGCGGAAGAUGUAACGGGGCUAAGUUGUAAACCGAAGCUGCGGCAAUGUUCUUUGAACAUUGGGUAGGGGAGCGUUCUGUAAGCCGUUGAAGGUGUGUUGUAAAGCAUGCUGGAGGUAUCAGAAGUGCGAAUGCUGACAUGAGUAACGACAAGGGGGGUGAAAAACCUCCCCGCCGGAAGACCAAGGGUUCCUGUCCAACGUUAAUCGGGGCAGGGUAAGUCGACCCCUAAGGCGAGGCCGAAAGGCGUAGUCGAUGGGAAACGGGUUAAUAUUCCCGUACUUCUUACAAUUGCGAUGGGGGGACGGAGAAGGCUAGGUGGGCCUGGCGACGGUUGUCCAGGUUCAAGUGCGUAGGCU
rnacentral:rRNA from 1 species